UACGGAGGGUGCAAGCGUUAUCCGGAUUCACUGGGUUUAAAGGGUGCGUAGGCGGAUCUGUAAGUCAGUGGUGAAAUCUCCAGGCUUAACCUGGAAACUGCCGUUGAUACUAUAGAUCUUGAAUGUUGUGGAGGUUAGCGGAAUAUGUCAUGUAGCGGUGAAAUGCAUAGAUAUGACAUAGAACACCAAUUGCGAAGGCAGCUGGCUACACAAAUAUUGACGCUGAGGCACGAAAGCGUGGGGAU
rnacentral:rRNA from 1 species